AUUGAACGCUGGCGGCAGGCCUAACACAUGCAAGUCGAGCGGAUGAAGGGAGCUUGCUCCUGGAUUCAGCGGCGGACGGGUGAGUAAUGCCUAGGAAUCUGCCUGGUAGUGGGGGAUAACGUCCGGAAACGGGCGCUAAUACCGCAUACGUCCUGAGGGAGAAAGUGGGGGAUCUUCGGACCUCACGCUAUCAGAUGAGCCUAGGUCGGAUUAGCUAGUUGGUGGGGUAAAGGCCUACCAAGGCGACGAUCCGUAACUGGUCUGAGAGGAUGAUCAGUCACACUGGAACUUAGACACGGUCCAGACUCCUACGGGAGGCAGCAGUGGGGAAUAUUGGACAAUGGGCGAAAGCCUGACCCAGCCAUGCCGCGUGUGUGAAGAAGGUCUUCGGAUUGUAAAGCACUUUAAGUUGGGAGGAAGGGCAGUAAGUUAAUACCUUGCUGUUUUGACGUUACCAACAGAAUAAGCACCGGCUAACUUCGUG
rnacentral:rRNA from 1 species